GCACUGCUGACGAGUCCCACAAUAGAACGAAAUGGUCUUCCAGUGC
rfam:Schistosoma curassoni strain Dakar, Senegal genome assembly, scaffold: SCTD_scaffold0000405